UACAGCAUCUGAGACACCUGGAGUCUCCCUAAGCUCCUUCAAAGUCUUCUGCUUUAACAGUGCAGCAACGACUUCAGAUAAAUUCUGAAAUUCUGAAUGACAGCAUGAGUGACAGAAAAGAGGAGAGUGCAGCCAAGGGGAAUGGUGUAACCCUACAUACAGUCAGCGACAUUAUGCUCCCUUAAGCACAUCAAUGCACCAGCACAUAAACUUAUGAAGUUAAAUGAAUGGAAAUUCCAACACUAAAAGUAUUCCUGCGAGUAAACGGGAGAAGGGCCUCACGGAUGGCUCUGGUAAGAAGCUGAGAAGCUUCCCUAGCUCCAACAUCAGGGAGCCAAGGAGCCAUUGGAGAGACAAUAGAUGCGCCUCUGCGAUUACCAUAUGAAAGAACUGAGUGAAAACCUGAGCAGAGCGGGCAGUUAGAAAGAGCUGAGCUAUAGAGCCAGAGCGGCGCCGGGGUGAAGAUCCCGUAGUUGCUGAAGAAGAAAGGGAAGAAGGUGCCCAAGCAGAAGUUUCCCUGCAACCCACGCCGAGAUGGCAGCUGUCCCCCUGCCUUCAUGAAGGAACGUGGUGGAACAUUCCCUGAAGGCGCCAGGAGGGGUGCAUGUGGAUUUGCAGCCAGUGGACUUGGAUUAUGCAGCCGUAGAAGACCCUGGCGCCAGGGGAGGUGACUGUUCCCCAAGCAGCCUGUGAAGCCCACACUGGAGCAGCUCCUGAGGGGACAGUACCUCGUGGCAAGGACUCAUGAAGGAGAGGUUUGUGGAGGACUCUACCAUGGGAGGGACCCCGUGGGGAAGCAGGGAAGGACUGUAAGGAAUCAUUCUUCCUGAGGAGGAUGGUGCGGCAAGAACCAGCAACCUGCGAACUGACUCUAAACCCCAUCCCCUGUCCCCCUGUGCCGCUCGGGGGAAGGAGGGAAACCGGGAACAACGUGAUUUGGGCUCGGGAAGAAGGGAGGGGUGGGGGUAACGUAUGUAAGCCCUGCUCUGUGUGUUGUCUGUGUCCCGUGUGUGCUUGAUUAGUGUUAAGUUAAAUUAUAAUUUUC